UACAGAGGUCUCAAGCGUUAAUCGGAAUUACUGGGCUUAAAGGGUCCGCAGGCGGUCUGACAAGUACUUUGUGAAAUCCUAGGUCUCAACCCUAGAACCGCUCGGUAAACUGUCAGACUUGAGUGCAAAAGGGGUCGCUGGAACUCUAGGUGGAGCGGUGAAAUGCGUAGAUAUCUAGAGGAACGCCAAAGGUGAAGACAGGCGACUGGUUUGCAACUGACGCUCAUGGACGAAAGCGUGGGGAUCAAACGGG
rnacentral:rRNA from 1 species